rnacentral:rRNA from 1 species
CAGCCGCCACGGGAAAACGUAUGUCACAAGCGUUAUCCGGAUUUAUUGGGCGUAAAGCGCGUCUAGGUGGUUAUGUAAGUCUGAUGUGAAAAUGCAGGGCUCAACUCUGUACUGCGUUGGAAACUGUGUAACUAGAGUACUGGAGAGGUAAGCGGAACUACAAGUGUAAAGGUGAAAUUCGUAGAUAUUUGUAGGAAUGCCGAUGGGGAAGCCAGCUUACUGGACAGAUACUGACGCUAAAGCGCGAAAGCGUGGGUAGCAAACAGGAUUAGAUACCCCCGUAGUCCCUGUCUCUUUACAC